AUGAGGUGUAAUGGCGCCGGGAUGCGCUCUCCUCUUCUCAUUUGCCAAUUUAUUGCAGAUCCCUCCUCGAAAAAGUUUUGGGACUAACUCAGCCCCAUGGAGAUCAAGGUGGGUGGGUGACUUCUAGAAGAGGAAAAUCAAGAAGAUUUGGAGAAGGAGUCUUGGAAGCUCUGGUGAAGUUUUCCAAAACUGGGAAGGACAGAGUCUGCUCAGCCUGUGUUAGUGGAGAAGAGGGAAGGAAACUGGCUGGAGGCCGCUGGACCCACAGAGGACAAUAGACAAUCUCCUGCUGAUGCCCACUGGAUCCAAAGAGAGAAACUCUAUAGAAUUAUGAUCUAGGUUUGACUGACUCCUGGCAAGAAGCCCUACCCGCCAGCCAAUUUGGAUGAGCUCUUAUGCUCCAGAUCCAUCAUGAGAAGAACAUGCCCUGGAUUCCUGCUAUCCCUUUAGCCAUGGCUCCAAAAUUAACACACACAAGGAAGACCUGAGGUCAAUCCACAGCCUGGAUUCAAGUCACCUAAUACGUAGGAGAAUCAGAGCUACCCAGCCAAACUCAAUCUACGUUAACUGAACCUCAGCUGACCUGCAGAUUUAUGAGUAUGAGAAUAAAGGCUUGUUAAUGUA
rnacentral:sRNA from 1 species